AGGAGGAACAACCCCAGUGGCAGCAGCCAGCUCCAGAGCCCUGGAGUCAGCUCCCGCAGUAACUACAGAGCUCUCUGUCUGCAUGGCCUGGAGGCUCUGGGGCGGG
rnacentral:pre_miRNA from 1 species